GACCUUGUGGCGCAAUGGUAGCAUGUUUGACUCCAAAUCAGGAGGUUGUGUGUUCAAGUCACAUCAGGGUCA
rfam:Oryctolagus cuniculus unplaced genomic scaffold chrTn0563, whole genome shotgun sequence.